UUUCCUGCUUAGUUUCUGCAGUGCUGAGUUUGCAGAAGAGAGAAUGUGCACUUUUCAGGAAGGUGGUGAUAAGUAGCCCAAAGCAACUAUGUUCUGGACUUCACUGCUGAGCUAGAUCAACCCUCUGAUAUCGGCUGAAAGGACUUGUGAAUCCAAGAGGAGCAGCAUAAGAUUAACCAUUGAUCAUGACUGUAUAGAAAGACUUGGGAAAUAUCCAAUUUGCACUACUAAAGUACUGGUGGCAUCUGUGAACAACCAUCCUCGGGGGGACACUUCAU